rnacentral:lncRNA from 1 species
AUAUGACUUGAAUGACAUUAAUACUUGGAACAACGGAAAAAAUUAUUUGAAAGGCAUUACCAAAAGUUUAACACUCUCUUUCCCUGAAACAGAUUAUGAUCUACUGUAGAGAUUACAUAUCAGUAAAAAAAGUAUAGAUCAGAGAAGAACAAAACGCUUGAGGAGAUGUUCAUUCUAGAACAUGUCAAUAACAUAUAACAUAGGUGAUACAACUGAGCUCAUUAGAUUUCAACAAGAAGAGUGAAUAGAGAGCACGUCCAGUACAUAUAAAUCCACUGCUUUAUCAUCUGGAAGUGUUGAAGUAAUGCUUAGUCAAAAGUCAAUCAGUACCCACAGGAAAAAAAACUUGGAUAGUACCUAAUUUUACAAAAGGUGAAUGCAGAACAUCAGCCUAUUCAAAGAGAAGAAAAAUGCAAAACAGGAAACAAAGUUGAAAAAAAAGACAAUUAUGAGAAUUGAGACACUUACUAAGAAUACAGAAAGGAUAAUGCUCACCAGCUGGUUGGCAGCAAACCUCAUCAACAUGUUUGAUGUCACCAAAUCCCAUGGACAAUGCCACCAUUAUGUAGUUUUCCAAUAGCAUCACCAAUCAGUUCAUCUGUGAUGGUUUCUUCAAUAAUCUCAAGUAAACCAAACCAAGGAAUAUAUUUUCAUGAGGGACCUUCAACAUACUCAAAG